GAUGAACGCUGGCGGCGUGCCUAAUACAUGCAAGUCGAGCGAACAGACGAGGAGCUUGCUCCUCUGACGUUAGCGGCGGACGGGUGAGUAACACGUGGAUAACCUACCUAUAAGACUGGGAUAACUUCGGGAAACCGGAGCUAAUACCGGAUAAUAUAUUUAACCGCAUGGUUCAAUAGUGAAAGACGGUUUUGCUGUCACUUAUAGAUGGAUCCGCGCCGCAUUAGCUAGUUGGUAAGGUAACGGCUUACCAAGGCAACGAUGCGUAGCCGACCUGAGAGGGUGAUCAGCCACACUGGAACUGAGACAAGGUCCAGACUCCUACGGGAGGCAGCAGUAGGGAAUCUUCCGCAAUGGGCGAAAGCCUGACGGAGCAACGCCGCGUGAGUGAUGAAGGUCUUCGGAUCGUAAAACUCUGUUAUUAGGGAAGAACAAAUGUGUAAGUAACUAUGCACGUCUUGACGGUACCUAAUCAGAAAGCCACGGCUAACUACGUG
rnacentral:rRNA from 1 species